rnacentral:antisense_RNA from 1 species
CUUGAUCGAGCCCAGCCGGAGCGGCGGGGCGUCGCCGCGGUCGCGUCCGUAGGUGGCCAGCAGCGCGUGCGCCUC